UCCUACGGGGGGCAGCAGUGGGGGAUAUUGCACAAUGGGGGAAACCCUGAUGCAGCGACGCCGCGUGGGCGAAGAAGUAUUUCGGUAUGUAAAGCCCUAUCAGCAGGGAAGAAGAAAUGACGGUACCUGAGUAAGAAGCACCGGCUAAAUACGUGCCAGCAGCCGCGGUAAUACGUAUGGUGCAAGCGUUAUCCGGAUUUACUGGGUGUAAAGGGAGCGCAGGCGGCACGGCAAGCCUGAUGUGAAAGCCCGCGGCCCAAC
rnacentral:rRNA from 1 species